CAUCCUCGAAUCCGAGGUCCCUCUCGAGGGGACACGGAAUCCGGAACUUGGGGGUUGCGGGCACACGUCCUCGUGGGACGGGUCGGCUCUCCUGAAACGUAUCAGCGGGAGAGGAUGGCAUCGCGACGGAGCAUGACCUUUUCCCCUCGACGUCGUAAGGAUCGUCGUGGGGGCUAGGGACCUCGUGAGCGAUGGUCGUCCGUCUCGGGCUUCCAGUCACACACACCCGUGUCUCAGG
rnacentral:misc_RNA from 1 species